rnacentral:rRNA from 1 species
UCCCUUCUCCUUCGGGAGGCCGCCGUAGGGAAUCUUCGCCCAUGGGGGCAACCCUGACCGAGCAACGCCGCGUGUGUGAAGAAGGUUUUCGGAUCGUAAAGCUCUGUUGUAAGAGAAGAAACGUGUGUGAGAGUGGAAAGUUCACACAUUGACGGUCACUUACCAGAAAGCCGUCGCCGGCUAACUACUUGCCACCACCCCCGGUAUAAA